GACGAACGCUGGCGGCGUGCUUAACACAUGCAAGUCGAACGGUGAAGCCCUUCGGGGUGGCUCAGUGGCGAACGGGUGAGUAACACGUGAGCAACCUGCCCCUGGCUCUGGGACAACCACUGGAAACGGUGGCUAGUACCGGAUACGACCCGCCUCGGCAUCGAGUGUGGGUGGAAAGUUUUUCGGCUGGGGAUGGGCUCGCGGCCUAUCAGCUUGUUGGUGAGGUGAAGGCUCACCAAGGCGACGACGGGUAGCCGGCCUGAGAGGGCGACCGGCCACACUGGGACUGAGACACGGCCCAGACUCCUACGGGAGGCAGCAGUGGGGAAUAUUGCACAAUGGGCGAAAGCCUGAUGCAGCGACGCCGCGUGAGGGAUGACGGCCUUCGGGUUGUAAACCUCUUUCAGCUCCGAAGAAGCGAAAGUGACGGUAGGAGCAGAAGAAGCACCGGCUAACUACGUG
rnacentral:rRNA from 1 species